UACGGAGGGUGCAAGCGUUAUCCGGAUUCACUGGGUUUAAAGGGUGCGUAGGCGGGUUGGUAAGUCCGUGGUGAAAUCCCCAAGCUUAACUUGGGAACUGCCGUGGAUACUAUCAAUCUUGAAUAUCGUGGAGGUAAGCGGAAUAUGUCAUGUAGCGGUGAAAUGCUUAGAUAUGGCAUAGAACACCAAUUGCGUAGGCAGCUUACUACACGAUCAUUGACGCUGAGGCACGAAAGCGUGGGGAGCAAACAGG
rnacentral:rRNA from 1 species